rnacentral:lncRNA from 1 species
AUGGUGGGGCCCUGGAGGGCCUGGCCUUGUCCGAGCAUUAUGGGUUGGAGUCGAGACCUGGCAGCGGUGCAACUCGGCCAAGCCAGCGCAGGGAUCCGGCUCUGGCGCAGCUCCGGGAGGCCCGCUCCAGAUGCAGGGGUCAGGCCAGGACCACGUUGGGCCCGAGAGGACCGCGCCUGGCGGGCCCGGCAUGCAGCCAGCUGCACGCUCCUCGGCCGAACCCAGCGCCUCCUCAGCAGAGGCCAUGGGGCCUCAGAGGGUCAGAGCUGGGGCUGGGCGGAAACUCAGCAUGACAGACGCUCUGCUUCUCUGGACAGAGGUCGAGGAGGCAACAUUCUUUGUUCACUACCAGGAAAAGAAGGAGUGGAAGACAGAUUCAACGCAGAAGUUACAGAAUUUAUUCUAUUUCUCCAAAAGUUGUUUUCCUGUCUGACUCAUAUACAAAAUCGUAAAGCCUUGACCUUCCUGAGCGUGCUGCACCCACGCCAGUUCUCUCUGGACUCUAAGUGUCCAGGAAGAAACAACAGUUUUCUUCCAGAGAAGCUGGACUCAGGGGUGGGGACCAGCUGCCCGAGGCCUUCCGCAGGGCCCCUGCCCCUUCCACUGCUGGGACCCUGUCAGAGGGCUACUCCCAGUCCCGACGCCUGUGAGGCCUGCGCGACGGGGCUGACGAAGGACAGCGGCUCAGAUCCUGACCACCUGGGCGGCAGCACACGGACUCUGCCGCCUCGCCGCCUGCGGUCUGCCUCCUGAGGUAGAGUCGGCCGAAGGUGCCCCCACCUGGCCUUUGGUGAGGCGCCCGGGUUCACACAGACGCAGCCGAGGAUGUCCUGGAGGGAGGAAAGAGUGACUGUGGGUCUGGAAAGGCUGAAACCAUGGGCACGGAUGUGAAGAAGCUGGACUCAUCUAGGGUUCAGCCCCAGAGGAUGUUAUAGAAACUGGAAACAAAGGCAGACGAAAACCAUCUUCGGCCAAUGUGUUAAUUUAUUACAGAAAACUCUGAGUCCCUCUUGUGUCUCCAAAACAAAAUAAAGAAGGUGACUCAGCCAAUUCCCAAACGUGGAGACAAACUUGCUCUAUUGGUUUCACAGCGUGAAAGGUUUACCUCCUGAGGUUGGACUGGCUCUGCUUUGGCAAGAGGAGGUUGAUGGGGUACAUUCCCCACGAGAGCCCGAACCUGAACGUGCCCAAGAGCUGCUGGGAGCUCAUCUCAGAAUUCAGGGAGGGACAGGCAAGCCCAGGUCACCCGAGGUGGCCAUGGGUGAGAACCGUGGUUCGAGGGCCUUCCUAGCUGCCUCCGGGCUUCCAGGCUGGGCUGCCUGAGCCAUGCCGUGGGUGGGGUGGGGUGGUGGCAGUGGGCAGCAAGGCGCAUCACUUAAGCAUUAUACUAACAGAUUUGUUUUCUACUCCUACCCCUCCCCAAAGGAACGAGGCCACUGUCCCCACCAGCAGACCCGAGAGGAGUUAAGUGCCAGGGCUCCAGAAGGGAACUGGUUCCGCAUUGCUGGGAAAUGGCUGAGUUCAAACCCACCUUCACGAAGUAUCUCAGCUCUGAUGGGGCUAUGAAGACGCCGGGGUGACGGGCAGCUGAGCGUAGAGGUAGAAGUUCUCGUGAGUCGAUGGCCAUGUCCUCCUGGGGUGGGUAGAGCGGGUAGUAGCUGCAGAGGAAGAGAGAGUCAGCAGCAGCGGACUCGGGAGCCGCCCCCAGAUGGACUCCUUCUCUGCCGCUGGUUUCCACGCUGUCACACCCUGCCUCUCCCGCCUCUGUAUCUGGGGACAGAGCAGGCCUGUCAUGCCAGGAGGGAGCUCCCUGGUGGGGCCUAGGGAAGGCUGUUGUUGUCCAGUUGCUAAGUCGUGUCUGACUCUUUGUGACUCCAGGGACUGCACAGGCCAGGCUUCCCUGUCCUUCACCAUCUCCAGGAAUUUGCUCAAACUCAUGUCAACUGAGUCGGUGAUGCCAUCCAACCCUCUUAUUCCCUGUUGCCCCUUUUCCUUCUGCCUCAAUCUCUCCCAGCAUCAGGGUCUUUUCCAAUGUGUCGGCUCUUUGCAUCAGGUGGCCUGGCCAAAGGAUUGGAGCUUCAGCUUCAGCAUUAGUCCUUCAAUGAAUAUUCAGGGUUGAUUUCCUCUAGGAUUGACUGGUUUGAUCUCCUUGCUGUCCAUGGGGUUGCAAAGAGUUGGACACGACUGAGCAACUUUCACGUCCACUGGGAAGGUUCUUGAAGUCAAAUCUGUCCGAGCUCUGUGACUCCAAAGCACCCCGGCACGGGCAGGUGCCCCACGGGCGGGCUCACCUCCGCUGGGUCAGGAUGUGUCUAAGAAUUCGGUUGAACCGGUCUGAAGUUCCAGAAGAACUGCAGAAGGAAGAAAAGCAAGAAACGGAAUGUGGAAACUUGUCUCUCGGCACCUGUUUCUCUUUGGGAGGAUUUCUUAAACUAGAGAGAAGUGAUGUGGCCAAGGUGUGUGACAGGAAGUUGCCUCUGGGGAAGUUUAAAGACGUAUCUGUAAACAGCUCGGUCUGUUGAGCAGGACACUGGGUUGAGAAGGGAAGAGCGGGAACUCCUUGUGAUCAGGCCCAGGCAGGCCGUCAUCAGCCCCACACCGUGCGAGAGCACGUGGGGUCUGCCCUCGAGGGCCAGCUGUAGCUGGGUGACCCUUGCACCUCAACCAGAGCCAACCUGCACACACCCAUCUCGCCUAACACACGAAUGGCUCCACACUCCUUCCCAUCACAGGUGAUGGAAGAACUGAACCGCUGAGCCUCAGCUCAACAGACCCGUAGCAUCUGAUCCCCUGCAGAGUAAUACCUUGUUCUGGGAGGGGAAUACCUCCAGGGUAAAUACAGUCACCCCAUGCGCAUGGACAGCUUGUUUAGGUCACACAUGUGGCGAAGGAAGCAAAGUAGAUGAAUGUCUAUGACUAGAAAUUAGGGGCAAAGAUAGGAUGGAAGGGACCCGCAGGGCCUCAAACACUGCAGACAAAUGGUAACAGACACAUGCGUGUCCCGCCGCCCCUGUGGGUGCAGAGAAACUCAGUGGCCAAAGGGUUUGGCAGAAAGUGCUGCUCUAGGGACUGCCCGCUUGAGACUCUGCCCAGCAGGCCUUUGGCCAAGGACAGGACCAGGGUCCAGAGGGCCAGAAACUGCCCGUGGAACUGGAAGCCCUUCUCACCUACUGAUCUCCUCGGCCCCCAUGUGGAACAGCAGGUCGGUGGAUGUCAAACCAAAGAUCACUCCGUUGAUGGAAAGG